AGAUAGCCAUGCAGGUCUAGUACAUGCCGUAUUAAGGCGAAACCGCGAAUGGCUCAUUAAAUCAGUUAUGGUUCCUUGGAUCGUACAUUACUACUUGGAUAACUGUGGCAAUUCUAGAGCUAAUACAUGCAGCAGAGCUCCGACCUUCGGGGACGAGCGCUUUUAUUAGACCAAAACCAAUCGGACCUCGUGUCCGUACUUUGUGGUGACUCUGUAUAACUUUGGGCUGAUCGCACGGGCCCGUCCCGGCGACGUAUCCUUCAAGUGUCUGCCUUAUCAACUUUCGAUGGUAGGUUACUCGCCUACCAUGGUCGUAACGGGUAACGGGGAAUCAGGGUUCGAUUCCGGAGAGGGAGCCUGAGAAACGGCUACCACAUCCAAGGAAGGCAGCAGGCGCGCAAAUUACCCACUCCCAGAACGGGGAGGUAGUGACGAAAAAUAACAAUACGGGACUCUUUUGAGACCCCGUAAUUGGAAUGAGUACACUCUAAAUCCUUUAACGAGGAUCCAUUGGAGGGCCAGUCUGGUGCCAGCCGCCGCGGUAAUUCCAGCUCCAAUAGCGUAUAUUAAAGUUGUUGCGGUUAAAAAGCUCGUAGUUGGAUCUCAGUUCCAGACGGGUGGUCCGCCUACCGGUGGUCACUGCCUGUUCUGAACAGCCAGCCGGUUUCUCUUGAUGAUCUUCACCGGUUGUCUUGGGUGACCGGCAAGUUUACUUUGAAAAAAUUAGAGUGCUCAAAGCAGGCGCGACGCCUGAAUAAUGGUGCAUGGAAUAAUGGAAUAGGACCUCGGUUCUAUUUUGUUGGUUUUAGGAACACGAGGUAAUGAUUAAGAGGGACAGACGGGGGGCAUUCGUAUUGCGACGCUAGAGGUGAAAUUCUUGGACCGUCGCAGACAUNNANUUUUUUUUU
rnacentral:rRNA from 1 species